rnacentral:sRNA from 1 species
UAGAAGUUUCUAUUGCUUUUCUCUCCCACUUUUUCCUCUUCCUUUUUCUGACAUUCCUUUGUCAGUAUUUAUAGUACUGAAAGGACAGUCUAUCGUUCAGGUUUCUUCUCGAUGUGGGACUUUCUCUUGACCAACAGCUUCCUUGAGGCGGGCCUCGUCUGAUGCUGAGCUCUUUUUCUUUUAACGGGCCGGUCUUCCUUCCUUCCUUCUUUUUUACUAAUUUUAAUGUGUUGGGCUUUUAAACGUGUUGGUGGGGCGAAGCCCAUGUCCAACAUUCACUUUUACAGAGCGUCUUAGCU